rnacentral:rRNA from 1 species
CCUACGGGAGGCAGCAGUGAGGAAUAUUGGUCAAUGGGCGAGAGCCUGAACCAGCCAAGUCGCGUGAGGGAGUACUGCCCUAUGGGUUGUAAACCUCUUUUGUCGGGGAGCAAAAGCCGGACGUGUCCGGCUGUGAGAGUACCCGAAGAAAAAGCAUCGGCUAACUCCGUGCCAGCAGCCGCGGUACUACGGAGGAUGCGAGCGUUAUCCGGAUUUAUUGGGUUAAAAGGGUGCGCAGGCGGAUUUUUAAGUCAGCGGUAAAAUCGUGGGGCUCAACCCCAUCCAGCCGUUGAAACUGGGGAUCUAGAGUGUGCGAGAGGUAUGCGGAAUGCGUGGUGUAGCGGUGAAAUGCAUAGAUAUCACGCAGAACCCCGAUUGCGAAGGCAGCAUACCGGUGCACAACUGACGCUCAGGCACGAAAGCGUGGGUAUCGAACAGGAUUAGAUACCCCUGUAGUC